AGAGUUUGAUCCUGGCUCAGGAUGAACGCUGGCGGCGUGCCUAAUACAUGCAAGUCGAGCGAGAAUUUUUCAAAUGACACUUCGGUUGAUUUUGGAAAAGGACAGCGGCGGACGGGUGAGUAACGCGUAGGCAACCUGCCCCUGACAGAGGGAUAGCCAUUGGAAACGAUGAUUAAAACCUCAUAAUGCCGAAGGAACACAUGUUUCAUCGGCCAAAGAUUUAUCGGUCAGGGAUGGGCCUGCGUCUGAUUAACUAGUUGGUGAGGUAACGGCCCACCAAGGUGACGAUCAGUAGCCGACCUGAGAGGGUGAUCGGCCACAUUGGAACUGAGACACGGUCCAAACUUCUACGGAAGGCAGCAGUAGGGAAUCUUGCACAAUGGGCGAAAGCCUGAUGCAGCAACGCCGCGUGAAGGAUGAAGGCCUUCGGGUUGUAAACUUCUGUUCUUAGGGAAGAAGAAAGUGACGGUACCUAAGGAGAAAGCCCCGGCUAACUACGUGCCAGCAGCCGCGGUAAUACGUAGGGGGCAAGCGUUAUCCGGAAUUAUUGGGCGUAAAGAGUGCGUAGGUGGUUAUCUAAGCGUAAGGUUUAAGCGUGCAGCUCAACUGCAUCUCGCCUUGCGAACUGGACUACUUGAGUGCAGGAGGGGAAAGCGGAAUUCCUAGUGUAGCGGUGAAAUGCGUAGAUAUUAGGAGGAACACCAGCGGCGAAGGCGGCUUUCUGGACUGUAACUGACACUGAGGCACGAAAGCGUGGGGAGCAAACAGGAUUAGAUACCCUGGUAGUCCACGCCGUAAACGAUGAGCACUAGAUGUUGGUCCCGAAGGGAUCAGUGUCGCAGUUAACGCAAUAAGUGCUCCGCCUGGGGAGUACGCUCGCAAGAGUA
rnacentral:rRNA from 1 species